UAUAGGUGCAGGUAAUGAAAA
rnacentral:siRNA from 1 species